rnacentral:rRNA from 1 species
GGCGGCGUGCUUAACACAUGCAAGUCGAACGGUGAAGCGCCUUCCUUUUUGGUGGGUGUGGAUGAGUGGCGAACGGGUGAGUAACACGUGAGUAACCUGCCCCCUUCUUCUGGAUAACCGCAUGAAAGUGUGGCUAAUACGGGAUAUUCUGGGUCUGUCGCAUGAUGGGUCUGGGAAAGAUAUUGCUUCGGUGGGGGAUGGGCUCGCGGCCUAUCAGCUUGUUGGUGGGGUGAUGGCCUACCAAGGCGGUGACGGGUAGCCGGCCUGAGAGGGUGGACGGUCACACUGGGACUGAGACACGGCCCAGACUCCUACGGGAGGCAGCAGUGGGGAAUAUUGCACAAUGGGCGCAAGCCUGAUGCAGCGACGCCGCGUGAGGGAUGGAGGCCUUCGGGUUGUGAACCUCUUUCGCCAGUGAAGCAGGCCCUCC